AAGGAGUAGACUAACUACCCAUAGUAUUCCGGUUUAUCCGGAUUAAAGAUUUAUCGCUUCGGGAGGGGCCUGCGUCUGAUUAGCUAGUUGGUGAGGUAAAAGCUCACCAAGGCGGCGAUCAGUAGCUGGUUCGAGAGGAUGACCAGCCACACUGGGACUGAGAUACGGCCCAGACUCCUACGGGAGGCAGCAGUGAGGAAUCUUCCACAAUGGGCGCAAGCCUGAUGGAGCAAUACCGCGUGCAGGAAGACGCUUUUCGGAGUGUAAACUGCUUUUGUCGUCGAAGAUUAUGACUGUAGACGAAGAAUAAGGACCGGCUAACUACGUG
rnacentral:rRNA from 1 species